UACGUAGGUCCCGAGCGUUGUCCGGAUUUAUUGAGCAUAAAGCGAGCGCAGGGGGUUUAUUAAGUCUGGUGUAAAAGGCAGUGGCUCAACCAUUGUAUGCAUUGGAAACUGGUAGACUUGAGUGCAGGAGAGGAGAGUGGAAUUCCAUGUGUAGCGGUGAAAUGCGUAGAUAUAUGGAGGAACACCGGUGGCGAAAGCGGCUCUCUGGCCUGUAACUGACACUGAGGCUCGAAAGCGUGGGGAGCAAACAGG
rnacentral:rRNA from 1 species